rnacentral:rRNA from 1 species
UACGUAGGGGGCAAGCGUUGUCCGGAUUUAUUGGGCGUAAAGAGCGUGUAGGCGGCCUGGAAGGUCCGUUGUGAAAACUCGAGGCUCAACCUCGAGACGCCGAUGGAAACCCUCGAACUAGAGUCCGGAAGAGGAGAGUGGAAUUCCUGGUGUAGCGGUGAAAUGCGCAGAUAUCAGGAAGAACACCCGUGGCUAAGGCGGCUCUCUAGUACGGUACUGACGCUGAGACGCGAAAGCGUGGGGAGCGGACAGG